rnacentral:rRNA from 1 species
UACAGAGGGUGCGAGCGUUGUUCGGAAUUACUGGGCGUAAAGGGCGCGUAGGCGGGAUGGCAAGUCGGUCGUGAAAUCCUUCGGCUCAACCGAAGAACGUCGAUCGAUACUGCUGUUCUUGAGGGUUGCAGAGGAGACUGGAAUUUCCAGUGGAGCGGUGAAAUGCGUAGAUAUUGGAAAGACCACCGAUGGCGAAGGCACUCUACUGGGCCAAUUACUGACACUGGAGAGACGAAAGCUAGGGGAGCAAAUGGG